UACGUAGGGUGCAAGCAUUAAUCGGAAUUAUUGGGCGUAUAGGGCGCGUAGGCGGAACUUCAAGUCGGACGUGAAAUCCCAGAGCUCAACUCUGGAACAGCAUCCGAAACUGAAGAUCUAGAGGGUAGGCGGAGAAAACGGAAUUCCACAAGUAGCGGUGAAAUGCGUAGAUAUGUGGAAGAACACCUGUGGCGAAAGCGGUUUUCUAGCUUAUUCCUGACGCUGAGGCGCGAAGCAAGGGGAUCAAACAGG
rnacentral:rRNA from 1 species